ACGAACGCUGGCGGCGUGCUUAACACCUGCAAGUCGAACGGAAAGGCCUGCUUUCCCUUGUGGAUUGCGGGUACUCGAGUGGCGAACGGGUGAGUAACACGUGAGUGAUCUGCCCCCAACUUGGGUAUAAGCCUGGGAAACUGGGUCUAAUUCCCGAUAGGACUGCAGGGUGGUGCCUGUGGUGGAAAACGAUUUUCUAGUGGUUGGGGAUGAGCUCGCGGCCUAUCAGCUUGUUGGUGGGGUAAUGGCCUACCAAGGCGGCGACGGGUAGCCGGCCUGAGAGGGUGGACGGCCACAGUGGGACUGAGAUACGGCCCAGACUCCUACGGGAGGCAGCAGUGGGGAAUAUUGCACAAUGGGCGGAAGCCUGAUGCAGCGACGCCGCGUGGGGGAUGACGGCCUUCGGGUUGUAAACUCCUUUCGACCGCGAGGAAGCCACCUGGUUGGAAGGGUGGUGACGGUAGUGGUAGAAGAAGCACCGGCUAACUACGUG
rnacentral:rRNA from 1 species